rnacentral:rRNA from 1 species
GACGAAGGGCGCAGGCGUUAUUCGUGUUAAUUGGGUGUAAAGGGUGCGUAGGCAAGGCUAAAACUUAUUUGGUGAAAACACGGGGUAUUCCCACGUGGUGACUAAUAAAUAGUUUAGCUAGAGUUUAGAGCAAGUUUAGGCAAUUUUUCAUGAAGGGGUAAGAUCCCAUGAGAUGAGAAGGAACACUACCAAGCGAAAGCACUACUCUAGCCUAAACUGACGCUAAGGCACGGAAGCCUGGGGAUCAAACAGG